UACGUAGGUGGCGAGCGUUGUCCGGAAUUAUUGGGCGUAAAGAGCAUGUAGGCGGUUUUUUAAGUCCGGAGUGAAAAUGCGGGGCUCAACCCCGUAUGGCUCUGGAUACUGGAAGACUUGAGUGCAGGAGAGGAAAGGGGAAUUCCCAGUGUAGCGGUGAAAUGCGUAGAUAUUGGGAGGAACACCAGUGGCGAAGGCGCCUUUCUGGACUGUGUCUGACGCUGAGAUGCGAAAGCCAGGGUAGCGAACGGG
rnacentral:rRNA from 2 species